UGGGAAUUUUGGACAAUGGGCGAAAGCCUGAUCCAGCAAUGCCGCGUGUGUGAAGAAGGCCUUCGGGUUGUAAAGCACUUUUGUCCGGAAAGAAAUCCUUGGCUCUAAUACAGUCGGGGGAUGACGGUACCGGAAGAAUAAGCACCGGCUAACUACGUGCCAGCAGCCGCGGUAAUACGUAGGGUGCAAGCGUUAAUCGGAAUUACUGGGCGUAAAGCGUGCGCAGGCGGUUUGCUAAGACCGAUGUGAAAUCCCCGGGCUCAACCUGGGAACUGCAUUGGUGACUGGCAGGCUAGAGUAUGGCAGAGGGGGGUAGAAUUCCACGUGUAGCAGUGAAAUGCGUAGAGAUGUGGAGGAAUACCGAUGGCGAAGGCAGCCCCCUGGGCCAAUACUGACGCUCAUGCACGAAAGCGUGGGGAGCAAACAGGAUUAGAUACCCUGGUAGUCCACGCCCUAAACGAUGUCAACUAGUUGUUGGGGAUUCAUUUCCUUAGUAACGUAGCUAACGCGUGAAGUUGACCGCCUGGGGAGUACGGUCGCAAGAUUAAAACUCAAAUGAAUUGACGGGGUCAUAGCUG
rnacentral:rRNA from 1 species